UUGCUUUCCUCUUCCUGGCUUGAAAAUGUUCUUUCAGGAAAGACACCUUCCCAGACGUUUCAUUACAUGUUUGAAGUAUUUAUACACAUACCUGGGGAAAAUGAACUCUAACACUGUGAACUCUACAAGGCACGUAAGUCAAAAGGCAACCAAAGGAAUUAUUAUCCAGCAAGUUACCACCAAGAGCAACUAUCUUGUGACCCUGCUGGGAUUCAGUAUAGACUGUGCACCCUGGAGUUAUCUUCCGCAGGAGUGACAGAGCUGGGACAUUUAAGUUCCCAUCCGAUGUUGGUUGAAGGCUGCAUCUUGGACGUUAAUUCUACGGCACUUCUGUGCUGCCAUUCGAGUGGCCAAGCAUGGCUUCCCCUUUUUCCAGAAGAGGAAAUGAGGACUGGAGAUGUCGAAUAACCUACCCAAGGACAUGCAGGAAAAUGUGGAAUUCAAACACUCCACUCAUUGGACAGAGGAAAGAGUCAGUUGAGGUGACGGAUGAUAGAUAUUCUGGGAAGAGGAAGAGCCGGACUGUGGAGAAAGAGCCGGGGGCUGCUGUCUGGCCCGGACAGGCUUCUCCACGUCCGGCAGCUCUAGUCUACAGAGGGGACCGCGUGCUGCCUGGAGCUCCGUCUUGACAUCUCGGCGAUUACUCUCUCCUGGGUGCAGGUAAUGGCCAACAGGUGUGCCUCUUAGGGAAUCACCAGUAGAUCCAGGAUGGUGAGAGCUUAUUUAAUAUGCUGACACAUUGAGCGGCGACGGGAAGGAUUCCGCAGUCACACCGAGGCUCAUUGAACAAGAGUGAUGUGAGUGCCGUGAGGAGCCCCAACUGACGGACUUACCAAGGCGUUGCCACCGUGGGGACUCCCAGGCUGGAGAUCACAUGGGAAACGUAGCUGGACCUCACGAGGUGUAUGGCUUCUGUGAGGACGGAGUGGAGCUCAGGCAGCAGGGCCCUGCAAGGACGGCCCAUAGCAGACCCUACCAGCCACCGACUUCAGCAUGCAGGCCUUCCAGGGAGGACCCGGAGGAUGGCACAGGGACCUGCGCGUAUGAAUCAUGUGGGUCGAGGACCUCCGUCCCCUUCCAUGCCAGCACCAGGGAGGAUCCUUUUCUCUCCUCUGCUUUACCACCAUCUAGCAUCCAGAGUAACCUAAUUCAAGAGCCCAACUAAGUCAUCCCGGAGUGUGAGGUGACCUGCAGGACAAGUGGGUGCCCAUCACUGCAGAGCCACACAAGUACCUGGACCAGGAACCAGAGAAGCUGGAGGAGACCCAGUGGGCAGUGGAGAUGCUGUGGGCCCAGCCAGUGUCCACAGCACCCAGAAAUUCCCUGAUUCCUCUGCCUUCAUUUCCUUGAGGAUACGGAUGAAUAGCUUGGGACUGAUGUUUACCUGCUAUUUGGGAAAGCUUGUUGGGUCAGUUCCCCUGAGUGGUCAUGAGACAGUGCCCAGCUUAGCAGGUGUGUCCCUGAAGUACAUUUGUCAUCAGAAAGGGAAUUCCUCUUUGUUGCAAAUGAAAUGUGAUUGCUUGUCAGGUUGUGCCUUGAGCAUUCAGAAGAAAUGUUACAUUAAUUGGUUAAAAUAUCAGAAUGCAACAGUUCUUAAUGUACUCCACCAUGUCCUGAAGCACUGUCAGAAUAUGAAAUCGACUGGGUGAAUUUCCUCUUGAGUGACAGCUAUAAGUAUCUGCAAAAUGGACUUCUAAAUUUUCAGUGGUUGCCAAAUCAAGAUACUUCUGUAAGAAGACACCCAGGUUCAAGAUUAAUGGGUAAAAAUGACUUUGAUGGUGAUGAUAAAGAAAUAAUAGUAAUUAACAUUUGUGGAAUGUUAUUUACAUGUAUUACUACACUUAGUUCUCAGAACAACCCAAUGAAGAAGGUGCUAUAAUAAUCCUCAUUUUACUGGUGAGGAAGUUGGAGCUUAGAAAGCUUAAAACUUGUCCAAGGUGACACAGGUAGUGAAUUCCAGAAAUGAGAUUCAAACCAGUCAUUCUGACUCUAGAAACUAUUUUAUUUACUGUCUCCUUAUAUUUCCAGGUUUAGUUCAUAUUUCUUUCCUCCUUCUCCCCUCCUCCCUCUUUUUCUUCUUCCCUCUCUGCAGACUUCAUUCUUUUCCAUUUGUUCAUUUUCUUUAUAUUUUUUAAAUCUCCAAACAUUGAAUAAGUACACGCUCUGUGCUGGGCAUGAUGUUAAGAGGCAGGAAUUCAAAGAUGAGCAAGACUCAGAUCAUACUCGCAAGAAACUUGCAGGGUCUCUCAGAAACACGGUGCCAUCUUGCAGCCCUGCUGAUACUUCGGCGGCCUGGGUCUGUCACCGGAAGGGUCUUCUGCGCAGAACAGGAAGUGAACGGUGCACUUUACCCAGCCGGCCAAGACUGAGCUGAGUGAGACCGCAGGACUGCGAUGGAGUGAAAGGGACCCGCACGCUCGGCAGGGGACCCCAGUGCCCCAUCUGCGUUGCAGCUUCCUCCUGUGCUCCUUGCAGGUGUCGUCAGCUUCCACCGACAGCCAGCUCUGGACCCCGCUGCCCCGCCGCCUUCCUUCGCUGGCCGUCCCCUAAAACGAGCCUCUGAUCUCAGAGACGUGCUGGAUGGAAGGAUGGAAUAUAAGAAAGUAUCUUUGCCCGGCAUCUGAUGGGAAUAGUGGCAUGGAACGGGUCUCGACAUUAGUUGAGGAAACUGGACUUUAGCACCAGUUGGAGUUUAUUCCGAGUGUAUGACUGGAUUCCAACAAAUUUGGUCAUGAUCUCACGGUUGUGGAAUCGAGUCUCGUGUCUGGAUCUGCGCUGGAAGCGGAGCCUGCUUGGGAUUCUCUCUCUCCCUCUCUCUCAGCCCCUCUCCCACUUGUACUCGCUCGCUCGCUCUCAAAAUAAAUACGUAAACAUUAAAAAAAGAAAAACUUUCAGCCUUGUCCGUUUCAGUCCUUUUAUACCCUUGAGGUGGGUGAAGGGCUGGUGGUUGCAGUGGAUGCCUCCUUUGCCCAGGGCUGUCUGUCUAGGAGGUCUGGCAGGUCAUUUUGGAGUGUGAGAGCACUAAUCAUCUCCUGCUUUGUUCUGAAUCUUUGAGGCCCCAGACAAAGCUGAAAGAUUCUCAUUUUUUUUUAAGUUUAUUUUUGAGAGAGACAGUGCGAGUGGAGGAGGGGCAGAGAGAAAGGGAGACACAGAAUGCAAAGCAGGCUCCAGGCUCCGAGCUGUCAGUGCAGAACCUGAUGCUGGCUCGAACCCGCUAACUGUGAGAUCACCUGAGCCGAAACCAAGAGCUGGAGGCUUAACUGACUACACCACCCAGGCACCCCUGAAAGAUUCUCAUUUUAACAUCUUGUUAUAGACCUAGAGAUUCCACUGUUUUCCAUAAAUUGAAACAUAUUAAUGUCCUCCAAAGUGUUGUCUUGUCAAUACAUCCAAGUCUUUUCAUUUCUAGAUGAUGUUGAGCUGCCUCAUUCAUUUUAAUGAAGCAUCAAAAUAUCCUAUCAGGUAGAUAAGCUAUAAUUUAACCAUUUCCCUACUGAUGGGCUGUUUCCCAUUUUGGGGUCUUAUAAAUAACGCUGCUAUAAAUAUUUUUGUAUUCACACAUUUGUUUUGCAUGUGUGUAUACAUGUUAGUAUUUCUCUAGAAUAGAAGUUCAGAAAUGACGCAGAAGGUAUGAAAAGGUAUGUACCAGAAGCACUGCUAGACACUACCAACAGGAGAGCUGUAUGAACUCUUUCUCCAGCAGUGCCUAAGAGUACCCAUUUCCCCAUAGCCGACUAAGUAUUUUCAUUGGUUUUAAUCUUUGCCAUUUUGAGAGGGCAGCAGUGAUCUUGUUAUUAUUUUAUUCUGUAUUCCCCUGAUGACUAAUGAGGUGAGCUAUCUUUUCUCAUGUUUGUCCAUUUGUAUCUGUGCUCUUUGAAUUGCCUCAUCACACAUCCUCCAUUCUGGGGCUUUAAGUUCUUUCCCAACUCCUUGUAGUUACAAACAAGGGCAAAAUGGGAGAAUGAUAAAGAAGAGAGAGAAUGUAGAGACUUCGUGGGAACCCAGGCCCAGCUCCGUGAGGACAAGAAAUGGCAGAAAUUCUACCACUCAGAUUUUAUCACUUUUUUUUUCUCCAAAACUCUUUGCAAGUCUGAAUCUGAAACAUUAGCUACCUUUCUCCUCAAAUUGACACGUGUAAUUUUAUUAGUAAAAUUUCAAAUGAUUCCUUGUGUUUGAGAAUAUGUGCAAACUUACUUUGAAUCUUAAGCCCAAGUAGUCACAUUUAUGCCUUUUUGUCUCUUUGCCUUUAUUUCACAUACAUUGAAAAUUACUAAAGGCAUAUUGGGUUAGGAGGAAGAAACAUCGGAGAUUAUUUAGGAACACCUAGCAGCCAUGGCAACAUGCCUUGAAAAGGGGCAUGUGCUCUGCUAAAAAAUAUUC